rnacentral:rRNA from 1 species
AACGACUCUCGGCAAUGGAUAUCUCGGCUCUCGCAUCGAUGAAGAAUGUAGCGAAAUGCGAUACUUGGUGUGAAUUGCAGAAUCCCGCGAACCAUCGAGUCUUUGAACGCAAGUUGCGCCCGAAGCCAUUAGGCCGAGGGCACGUCUGCCUGGGCGUCACGU